UGGGAAAAGAAGAAGCACCCGCUUCUCACCUGAUUGACGCUGUUUCGAGCAGUUGACAGGUAUUACAUGAACUUUUAAUUUAUUAAUUAUGUUCGUAAAGUGUGGGUGAAUUCAUCUGCACUUUUUUUGUAUG
rnacentral:sRNA from 1 species